rnacentral:rRNA from 1 species
UACGUAGGGUGCAAGCGUUAAUCGGAAUUACUGGGCGUAAAGCGUGCGCAGGCGGUUCGUUGUGUCGGCGGUGAAAUCCCCGGGCUCAACCUGGGAAUGGCCGUUGAAACUGGCGAACUGGAGUGUGGCAGAGGGGGGGUGGAAUUCCGCGUGUAGCAGUGAAAUGCGUAGAGAUCGGGCAGAACACCCGUGGCGAAGGCGGCCAGCUGGGCCGGGCCUGACGCUGAGGCGCGAAGGCGUGGGGAGCGAACGGG